rnacentral:rRNA from 1 species
GACAGAGGUGCCAAGCGUUAGGCGGAAUCACUGGGCUUAAAGCGUGUGUAGGCGGACUUCUAAGUACCUUGUGAAAUCCCACGGCUUAACCAUGGAACUGCUUGGUAUACUGGUUGUCUUGAGCCACUUAGGGGCUACCGGAACAAAUGGUGGAGCGGUGAAAUGCGUAGAUAUCAUUUGGAACGCCAAUGGUGAAAACAGGUAGCUGGGAGUGUGCUGACGCUGAGACACGAAAGCCAGGGGAGCGAACGGG